UAUAUAAGAUAGAAGAAAGUGAAUACACAUUCACACAUAUAAACAACAAUAUACUUAAUACACUCAAACCAUACUUGUAUUAUUAUCGUGUUUAUGAAAGGUAAUAUACACUCACUUGAUCAGAAGAUGUUCAGACAACACUAUGACUUGCAAAAGUAGUAAAUCUCAGCAGAUCUGGAAGAUCUUCACAAAAAUCGAACUUCUCGCGGGCAGAGCUUCGGCUCGGGAACCGCACUUCUUGGGAUCUUCGGGAUCUCGGGACUUGCUUCGGGGCUCGAGAAUAAUAUCGGGGCUACGGGGUAUUUCUGGCAUGCAAAUCAAUGCAAAACGGGAGAGAGAAGAGAGAAAAUAGCAAAAGAACUCGGCUCCCUCGAAUCCUAUUUAUAGGAGGCUGGAGCCUCGGAGUACGUGGGGCGUACUGGUCCGAAAAACAUCACUGCUUACGCAUCUGAAGCCACUUACUGCGAGUGUUGACAUCUUUGAUGUACGCGGGGCGUACUUCGGAUCGGAUCGCUGACUCCCCUUCGGAUAAUGCCGGAUUUUCCAAUUAAAAUUAAAUACACAUUAUUUAAUAAACUUCGGAUAUUCAUAUCUUCUUCAUACGAACUCCGUUUUUGACGUUAUUUAUAUCCACGCGAAGGUGAGACUACGCUCUACAACUUUCAUUUAGACUCCGUCGGCUAAUUNUAGCCUGGGACAGAAAAACUUCGUUAUAAAUUCAUAACUUCUUCGUUUGACGUCCGUUCUCGCCUAACUUUUCAUCGCUUCGAGACCAGCAACGAGACCUUCGAUCCUCGUUUAGAUUGCUUUGACUCAAAACCGCUCGAUCUCAAAUCGAGUAUUUCGGGCUGCACACCGCUAAGCCGAAACUUCAAUAAAUCAUAACUUCCUCAUACGAAGUCAGAUUUGGGCGUUCUAUAUAUAUUCGGAAACCUCGUUUCAACUACUACAACAUUAACCAAAGAUAUUAAGUUUAUUUUACACUUAAAUUUUGACGCUUAUUUUUAUUCUUAAUUAAUCAAACCACAUAAUUAAGCAAUUAAGCACAAAACACAUAAUACUCAAAUAAUACAAUCUUAUUAUUUCAAAACGGGUUACAAAGGUUAACCUAGACUAUUACAUUGCUAAAAAUGGCAAGCCCGGAAACACAGGCGUUACAAUUCUCUCCACCUUAGAAUGAUUCCGUCCCCGGAAUCACACAUCAACAAACAAAUGCGGAUAGCGACUCAACAUGUCACUCUCCGUCUCCCAGGUGAGAUUCGGCCCAUUCGUGUGUUUCCAUCGGACAAGCACUAACCCAACCAUUUUGCGUCGCAACUUCUUAGUCUUUCGGUCAACAAUUGCCUCUGGUUCUUCAAUCAACCUUUUGUUCUCAUCAAUUCUCAAUUCAGAAAUUGGAAUUAUAUCGGGAACUUCUCCCGUGAACUUCCUCAAAUAACACACAUGAAAGGUGUUGUGAAUUCCAUUCAGUUCUUCGGGUAAUUCGAGCUUGUAAGCUUGAUUCCCAAUCCUCUGAAGGACUUUAAACGGUCCAAUAAACCUUGGACUCAACUUUCCCCUUUUACCAAAUCUUAUAAGUCCCUUCCACGGCGAGACUUUAAGCAAAACCGAAUCUCCAACCUCAAAAGUCAUCGGUCUUCGCUUCUUGUCAGCAUAGCUCUUUUGACGAUCUUGAGCUGCUAACAUUCUUUCCCUAAUUAUUUUCAACUUUUCAGCAGUUUGAUGAACCAUCUCCGGUCCCAUAAACUGCUUUUCCCCAGCCUCAAGCCAACAAGACGGCGUACGACACUUCUGUCCAUACAAAGCUUGAUAAGGUGCCAUCUUAAUGCUCGAGUGAAAACUAUUAUUAUAGGAAAAUUCUACCAACGGUAAAUGUUCAUCCCAAUUACCUAGGAAUUCCAAGGUACAUGCUCUCAGCAUAUCUUCAAGUGUUUGUAUUGUUCUUUCACUCUGACCAUCAGUCUGCGGAUGGUAAGCUGUGCUUAAACAUAACUUGGUACCCAUUUCCUCUUGUAGACUUUUCCAAAACCUUGAGGUGAAACGGCUAUCACGAUCCGAUACAAUCGUUAACGGAACACCGUGAAGCCUCACAAUUUCCUUCACGUAAGAAUUCGCAAGCUUUUCCAUAGACCAUUUCUCCCUGGCCGCUAUGAAAUGCGCACUCUUAGUGAAUCGAUCAACGACCACCCAAAUCAUGUCGUGACCAUUCUUUGUUCUGGGCAGUUUAGUGACAAAAUCCAUAGCAAUGUCUUCCCACUUACCCAUAGGCACAGGCAAUGGUUCUAAACUCCCGUAAGGUUUCUGAUGUUGUGUCUUGACUCUCGCACAAGUCACACACUCGGCCACAUACUUUGCAACAUCAAGCUUCAUCGUCGGCCACCAGUAGUAGGGUUUCAGGUCCCUAUACAUUUUAGUGCUACCCGGAUGAAUUGAGUACAUGGUUUUGUGAGCUUCUUCCAUCAGAAGAUCCCUAAUUCCUCCUGACUUAGGUACCCAAAUACGAUCUUGGAAUACCUUCAGUCCAUGACCGUUAGUACCAAACACCAACGUUUUACCCAAACGUUCCUCCUUUCGGUCAUUUUUCUCAGAAGCUUCCUCUUGAGCUUUCUUUAUACUUUCCACAAUAGUCGAGACAACUUCAAUUCUCAACGCUCUUGGCCUCUUCCUUUCAAGAUUGACUUUCCGACUGAGAGCAUCAGCAACAACAUUAGCUUUACCGGGGUGGUAAAGUAUCUCGCAGUCGUAGUCUUUAAGUAAUUCUAGCCAGCGUCGUUGCCUCAUAUUCAAUUCUUUCUGAUUAAAGAGGUAUUGGAGACUCUUAUGAUCAGUGAAAAGUUUGCACUUCGUGCCAUAGAGGUAAUGCCUCCAUAUUUUCAGAGCGAAAACUACCGCUGCCAACUCCAAAUCAUGAGUCGGGUAAUUCUUUUCAUGCUCUUUCAGCUGUCGAGACGCAUAUGCUAUCACCUUUUCUCUUUGGGUCAAAACACAACCCAAUCCAACACCAGACGCAUCGCUAUAAACAGCGAAGUCUUCAACUCCAUCGGGUAGAGAAAGUAUCGGUGCCUCGCAUAGCUUCUUCUUUAACUUCUCGAAUGCUUCUUUAUGCUUCUCACUCCAAGCAUAAGUAGCUCCUUUGUGGGUCAAAGCUGUUAAUGGAGUAGCAAUCGAAGAAAAGCCUUGGAUAAACCUUCGGUAAUAUCCGGCUAAUCCUAAAAAGCUUCGAAUCUCCGUGGGACUUUUCGGUUGUUCCCACUUCGUCACAGCUUCGAUCUUCGCUGGAUCAACCAUUAUCCCUUCUUGGUUGACCACGUGACCCAAGAAUUGGACCUCACGAAUCCAAAAAUCACAUUUGGAGAACUUCGCAUAAAGCUUCUCCUUCUUCAAAACUUCUAACACUUCUCGCAAGUGUCUGCCAUGCUCCUCCUGGCUUUUCGAGUAGAUCAGAAUGUCGUCUAUGAACACUAUCACGGAUUUAUCAAGGAAAGGAUUACAAACCCUAUUCAUCAAAUCCAUGAACGCUGCUGGAGCAUUGGUUAGUCCAAACGACAUAACCAAGAACUCGUAGUGUCCAUAUCUAGUUCUGAAUGCAGUCUUCUCGAUAUCUUGCUCUCUUACUUUCAGCUGAUGAUAUCCUGACCUAAGAUCGAUCUUCGAGAAAUAGCUCGAACCUUGCAAUUGAUCAAACAGGUCAUCAAUCCUCGGCAACGGAUAUCUAUUCUUUAUUGUUGCCUUGUUCAGCUCUCUGUAAUCGAUGCACAUUCUCAUACUUCCAUCUUUCUUCUUUACAAAUAACACCGGAGCUCCCCAGGGCGAUGAACUAGGUCUAAUGAAACCUUUGUCCAAUAACUCCUGAAGUUGCAUCAUCAGCUCCUUCAUCUCCGUCGGUGCUAAUCGAUAAGGUGCUUUUGCUAUUGGCGUGGUUCCUGGUAACAAGUCUAUUCUGAACUCCACUUGUCUAUCAGGUGGUAAUCCAGGAAGAUCUUCGGGAAAUACUUCCGGAUAAUCACACACCACUGGAAUACUCUGCAUCACCUUCUUUUCCUUCUUAGCAUCAAUCACGAAUGCUAAAUAUGAUGUACAUCCCUUGGUCAAACACUUUCUGGCUUUCAUUAGAGAAAUGAUUCCAGAAUUCACUCUGCGUUUGUCCCCAUACACCAUAAACGAAUCUUUCCCAGGCGGGUUUACUUUAACUAUCUUCUUCUUGCACAAUAUUUCGGCAUCAUUGGCGCUAAGCCAAUCCAUUCCCAAGACGAUGUCGAAACCAUUAAGUUCGAUAGGCAAUAAUUCCUCGUGAAACUUAUUCCCAUUAAGGUCGAUUAAGAUGUCUUUCAUACGAUGGCUAACAGGUACAAACUUGCCACUAGCAACUUCGACUAAUAAAGCAUUAUCUAGUCUAUCAACAGGCAAAGCUAGCUUUCUACCAAACUCAUGCGAAAUAAAGGAGUAGUUGGCUCCAGAAUCAAACAAAAUUUGAGCAGGUAAUUCAUUUACGAGAAAGGUACCUGAAGCGACAUCAACCUCAUCUUUCACGGCCUCAAGUGUCAUCUAGAAGGCUCUCGCCUUCGGCUUUGGUGGAAUGUUGGGCUUUGCUGCCUCCUUCUUCUUCGGAAAGUCUUUCAAAAUAUGCUCCUCUUCAUUACAACCAAAACACAUCCUAUUGUUGUUCGGACACCCAUUGGCAAAAUGUCCAACCUUUCCACACUUGUAGCAGGUUACAUCCUCGCUACAUUUCCCAAAGUGCUUCUUCUUACACUUAUCACACCACUUCGCUUCGCCUCCCUUUCCUCCAAACUUUUUCGAAUCAGAUUUCGAAAAUUUGCCUUUCUUACCGGAACCAGAUGUUCCCUCAAACAUUCUUUUUUCACCAACCUCAACCUUGUCGGUGGUUCUCCCCUUAAUCAUGUUCUCAACAGACUUGGCAGCCCAGAUAGCUGCCUCUAGAGUAUGUGCCUGACGUACUGGCACCUCAUACUCCCAUGGGAGUCCCUUCGCAUACCGGUCCACCUUUUUCAGCUCAUCUGGAACGAUACGCAAGGCAAACUCCAUCUUAUCGGUGAAGUUAUUGGUGUAUUCAUCAAUUGACAUGCUUCCCUUCGUCAAUGUCAGAAACUUGUUCUCCAAUUCCAAAAAAUUUUGAGCCGAACAGAACUUGCGCUUGUACUGCAGCAAGAAUUCUGCCCAUGUCAAUUGUAGUGGCUCAUUAGGGCUUAACGUCUUCCCUAGAGUGUUCCACCAACGAACGACUCCACCUCGAAACUGACGCGCUGCAUAGAUAGUCUGCAACUUGCCUCUGCAGCCACAUGUCAUGAAGGCUAACUCCAUUUCGGAGAUCCAAUCCAUAACUCCAAUCGGAUCCUCCUUUCCAUUGAAGGUCGAUGGUUUGCAAGUUAGAAAGUCCUUGUACUUGCAUCCCAUUCCAUCAUUCCUUCCAUCAUGGUUGUUUUGCCUAACUAUCGGUGGGUUGGCUUGACCAACAGACCCACUGAAGUUUCCACCUUCCGAGUGCCCUUCAUUUAAUUCAGGCUCCUCCACACGAAUUGACAGUUCUUCACGACUCUAUUGAAGCAACUGUCUAGUUUCAUCCAUCUGACGAUCCAACAUCGUNNNNNNNNNNNNNNNNNNNNNNNNNNNNNNNNNNNNNNNNNNNNNNNNNNNNNNNNNNNNNNNNNNNNNNNNNNNNNNNNNNNNNNNNNNNNNNNNNNNNGUUUGUGGUCGUCAUCUAAACUCCGCUAGAUGACUAAAUCAAAAAAUAACGAGGCCUCUCAUCUGUUUUAUUACACACCAACUAUCUACCCAUGUUCAACCCAACAUAUUAGUAGAUAAAUUAUACAUUUGUAUACAUAGUUUUGAAAACCUAUAUAGCAUGCUUUAAUCAAUACAUAUUCCACAUAACAGAUGAGGCACACACACACAUAACACGUAUUUCAUAGAGAAUAAAUCAUAUAUCUAUGAGAUAGAAGAAAGUGAAUACACAUUCACACAUAUAAACAACAAUAUACUUAAUACACUCAAACCAUACUUGUAUUAUUAUCGUGUUUAUGAAAGGUAGUAUACACUCACUUGAUCAGAAGAUGAUCAGACAGCACUACGACUUGCAGAAAUAGUAAAUCUCAAUAGAUCUGGAAGAUCUUCACAAAAAUCGAACUUCUCGCGGGCAGAGCUUCGGCUCG
rnacentral:lncRNA from 1 species